rnacentral:rRNA from 1 species
GAUGAACGCUGACAGAAUGCUUAACACAUGCAAGUCAACUGUGGCGGACGGGUGAGUAACGCGUAAAGAACUUGCCUCACAGAUAGGGACCACCUUUGGAAACGAAUGCUAAUACCUGAUACUGUGAGAGAGCUUUGCGUCCCAUUAGCUAUUUGGAGAGGUAACGGCUCAUCAAGGCGAUGAUGGGUGGCCGGCCUGAGAGGGUGAUCGGCCACAAGGGGAUUGAGACACGGCCCUUACUCCGACUGGAGGAAGCAGUGGUGAAUAUUGGACAAUGGGCCAAAGUCUGAUCCAGCAAUUCGGGGUGCACGAUGAAGUUUUCGGAAGGUAAAGUGCUUUCAUUUGGGAAGCGGUACCAACAGAAGAAGUGACGGCUAAAUACGUGCCAGCAGCCGCGGUAAUUC